UACGAAGGGGGCUAGCGUUGCUCGGAAUCACUGGGCGUAAAGGGUGCGUAGGCGGGUCUUUAAGUCAGGGGUGAAAUCCUGGAGCUCAACUCCAGAACUGCCUUUGAUACUGAGGAUCUUGAGUUCGGGAGAGGUGAGUGGAACUGCGAGUGUAGAGGUGAAAUUCGUAGAUAUUGGGAAGAACACCAGUGGCGAAGGCGGCUUACUGGUCCGGUACUGACGGCUGAGGCGCGAAAGCGUGGGGAGCAAACAGG
rnacentral:rRNA from 1 species